rnacentral:rRNA from 1 species
AGGGUUUGAUCAUGGCUCAGAUUGAACGCUGGCGGCAGGCCUAACACAUGCAAGUCGAGCGGUAACAGGGGAAGCUUGCUUCCCGCUGACGAGCGGCGGACGGGUGAGUAACGCGUAGGAAUCUACCCAGUAGCGGGGGAUAAGCCAGAGAAAUUUGGUCUAAUACCGCAUACGCCCUUCGGGGGAAAGCAGGGGAUCUUCGGACCUUGCACUAUUGGAUGAGCCUGCGUGAGAUUAGCUAGUUGGUGAGGUAAUGGCUCACCAAGGCGACGAUCUCUAGCUGGUCUGAGAGGAUGAUCAGCCACACUGGAACUGAGACACGGUCCAGACUCCUACGGGAGGCAGCAGUGGGGAAUAUUGCACAAUGGGCGCAAGCCUGAUGCAGCCAUGCCGCGUGUGUGAAGAAGGCCCUAGGGUCGUAAAGCUCUUUCGCCUGUGAAGAUAAUGACGGUAGCAGGUAAAGAAACCCCGGCUAACUCCGUGCCAGCCGCCGCGGUAAUAC